CUGCAGCCCACCCCUUCCCAUCCUUCAAAACCCAGACAAAGGCUAAAGCAACUCCUCCCGCGCCCCUCCUUUUCUCUCCACCCACACAAACACGUACACACGCAUGUGCCAUCUACCCCAAACCCUUGCUCUGAAGUCACAGGCCUGACUUCCAGACUAGGCUCUGCCCCUAAGGAAAUCACCUUUCUGGUCUUAGUCUCCCCAUCUGAAAAUGGCAUAACCAACCUACCUGCCUCAAAUACAAGACCCUGCUUGUGAAGCGUCUCCUGGCUCAGACCAGUGCUAGAAGUGUCCAGUCUAGCAGCUCCUGGACCAAGACUCCGUGGCCAUUCCCUUCCUCCUGCCUUCCAUCCACCCCCUUACGAUACAGAAGUUGAGAUACAGAGAGGUGAAGGAACUUGUCCCAGGCCCUACAGCUAGUAAGUGAUGGACCUGGAAUUUAAGCCCAGAUCAAAAAAAAAAAAAGAGAGAGAGAAAAUUCAUUACCAGUGGACGUUCUGUAAGCAGAAGAAAUAUGAUACCUGAGAGAAACUUGGAUCUACAUAAAGAAAUGAUGAUCUCUGGAAACAGAUAGAAUAAAGGGUCCUGGGUGGCUGAAUCUUAUUCUGG
rnacentral:lncRNA from 1 species